UAGUGGCCCAGGUCAAAUUAGGGUUUGGUUCAUUCUUGUGUCGCUCCUGAGAAAUUUUUUGCGUCUCUUCACAACUCUCUAAUUCUGGCGUUCCUUUCUGUAACCGGUGUAUUGAUCAUCCGUCAGCGACAUAAAUCCAAGCAUUAAUGCCUACUGCACUACUCCUCCCACCUCUCUAAUUAAAUCAGGCAUCUGUCUUCUUAAGAAACCGACUGAAGCUUACCCUAUAAAUGUUGAUUGGGGACGACUCAAACCAGCCUUCCUCUUCACAAAAGCUGGCUCAUGCCCAGAAAACAGAACCUUAAGUUAAUUGAGUAACUGGUAUUCAGGCAGAUAAAGGUUGGUCUAAAUCUUCAGAGAAGCUCCAACAAUAGAAUAUUCUUCUUUCACAUGCCUUGUAUUGUCGGUGUUCUGAGGUAGCAAUCCUUAAGCUGGUUCUCCUGGUGUUUUAGUCCCCUUCCUUAGAUUCCCAACACUAUUAUACUUUUAUGUGCAUAUAUUCCUUGCCUAUAAGUAUCGUGUGGAGCUGUCUGAAUCUUGACCAGAUGGAUGAGGCUGUCUUUGGAAAAGUUGACAAACAUUCAUGCUGCUGGAGCUGCGCAAAUUUCGGUCAAGAUUCCCUUGAGUGCUCGUGUGGACAACGAACUCCCCAGUUUUUCUCUGAUAUUGUAUGCAAAACAUACACUUUCCAGCUCAAGCUAGGAGAAUUCAGUGGCACUACCACUCACUAAACCUUCACCAUCUUCCCUAUCACUUCUGAGCAACAACGUGCACAACUCCCUGAAUUUGUCAAAUAUUUUUAAAAAAUAUACUGCCUUGUAAAUUAUAAUUUCAUGUUUGUUACUGUGACAUAACCAGGGAGAUAACAAUUGUCUUGAUUAUGACCUACCUGUAGUGAAACCAGUAGCAUCAGAAGGCUCUGCUGGUGACCAAAAACUCUGUUGCAGAGGUUGCAGGAGGUGUGACAGCAGAAGUUGGAGAGACUACAAAUGUGUUGGGGGUGGACUUUGCCCUUCAACUACGCCCAUUGAACAAUGAGCUAGGCUCAUUAUACUAGGAAACCCUAAACUCUUACUUGUAUAAAUAAAGAGACACCUCUCUUUAGAAGUGAUCUUCUUUUUUUUCCAUUUAGACUUUGAACACAUCCUAUAAGGAUUUUAUAUAUUCUUUGAAUCACUUUACACAAGAAUGAUUUAUUGUAAUGCAAUAUUUGAUCAAUAAAGUCUAUUAGAUA